rnacentral:lncRNA from 1 species
CAGUAAUUAAAUUCUGUUCCAUAUGCUUGAGGGAAAACCAACUGGUGAUCAUUAAUCUUAAACCCCUGCAUCUGGGUUUUUCAUGCCAGAAGGUAUGAAAAAGGGUGGUGACUUAAUCCAAGGAUCCAGAGAAGCCAUAAAGAUGUUAAAUAUCUUGACCUUUACAUUGAUUCACUAGAAAUAAUGUUAUUUAAAGAAGGAUAUAAUAACUUCUAUAAGUCCCACCGUGGGGGAACUCUUUACCCUCUUUCAGUGUCUAUGCUGAGAAUUUUGUACUUUCCUCCUCUCAAAUAAAUCCUACUCACUUGCUACCAUUCAUGGAUUCCAUUCUUCUGGGCUUCAUGGACAAGAUCUCAGAUUCCCUUCUCACCCCAGCCAUAGCCACAGGAGUUGCCGUAGUAGUUACAACACAUGUUGUCAAGGGAAGAGGAUUCAGGUGGACUGCAAGAGGAUGUUUCUGAAGUGUAUGUGUCUUCUUCUUCCCUUGGACCUUUAUAUACUGUCAGUAAUUGGCAGAGCAUACCAUUCAUUCCCUGACAUAGGCAGCAAAUAUGGAAGCAACAUUAUGAGCCAGUCACUGUUGACCUAUAAUGC